rnacentral:tRNA from 1 species
GGCCAUGGUUCAGUGGGAGAGCAUCUGCUUGGCAUGGGGAAAGCGCCAGGUUCAAUCCCUGGCAUCUCCA